GUAUAAAUACAUUUAAAAAUGUAUAUUUCAAGAAGAAAUGAUGCUUUCUUAUUCCUAAGAGUUUAUCAAUAGGAUGAAUGCCACAAAACUCACUUGUUAUGCCAGAAACUCUUCCUACGAAACUUCCAUACUAGAAUUUGUCCAGUGCCUGUGAUCCUCUGAGUUAAAGGAGAAUGUGCUCCAUAAUACCUACUAGUAGCUUGCUGAUAGCUGGAAGUUCAUGAAUACUAUGUUGUCCUUGAUUUGAUGAUUCUGAAAACUACCAUUUCUUAAGACUUGAGCAUUAUUUCUAUAAUUUAAAAAAAUCUUUUCAGGAAAUAUUGUGUUUAUAAUAUUAAGAAAGUGAAGAUAAUAUUGUUCUUACUAAUAUUAUUGUUAUUAUUAUUAUUAAAAUAGAAAGCACAUCAUUACAAUAUUCACUUGUCAAUAAAUGUUAGCAUUAUUCAAUUUUUAGUUACAUGUUCAGACUAUUAAAUUUUAUUAUUUAAAUUAUAGCAACUUUCUCUUU